rnacentral:rRNA from 1 species
GAUGAACGCUAGCGGCAGGCUUAAUACAUGCAAGUCGUGGGGCAGCAGGGGUGUAGCAAUACAUCUGCUGGCGACCGGCAAACGGGUGCGUAACACGUACGCAACCUUCCCGUUACUGUGGCAUAGCCCAGGGAAACUUGGAUUAAUACUACAUAUUAUAUAGAGAGGGCAUCCUUUUUAUAUCAAAGCUUCGGCGGUAACGGAUGGGCGUGCGGUUGAUUAGGUAGUUGGCGGGGUAACGGCCCACCAAGCCUACGAUCAAUAGCUGAUGUGAGAGCAUGAUCAGCCACACGGGCACUGAGACACGGGCCCGACUCCUACGGGAGGCAGCAGUAAGGAAUAUUGGGCAAUGGACGAAAGUCUGACCCAGCCAUGCCGCGUGAAGGAUUAAGGUCCUCUGGAUUGUAAACUUCUUUUCUCUGGGGCGAAAACCAGCUAUUCUUAGCUAUUUGACAGUACCAGAGGAAUAAGCACCGGCUAACUCCGUGCCAGCCGCCGCGGUAAAAC